rnacentral:rRNA from 1 species
CGGAAUCGCUAGUAAUCGCGGAUCAGCAUGCCGCGGUGAAUACGUUCCCGGGCCUUGUACACACCGCCCGUCACACCAUGAGAGUCGGGAACACCCGAAGUCCGUAGCCUAACAGCAAUGAGGGCGCGGCCGAAGGUGGGUUCGAUAAUUGGGGUGAAGUCGUAACAAGGUAAC